CCAGCAGCCGCGGUAAUACGUAGGGGGCAAGCGUUAUCCGGAAUUACUGGGCGUAAAGGGUGCGUAGGCGGUUUAUCAAGUCAGGGGUGAAAGGCUACGGCUCAACCGUAGUGAGCCUCUGAAACUGGUGAACUUGAGUGUAGGAGAGGAAAGUGGAAUUCCCAGUGUAGCGGUGAAAUGCGUAGAUAUUGGGAGGAACACCAGUGGCGAAGGCGACUUUCUGGACUACAACUGACGCUGAGGCACGAAAGCGUGGGGAGCAAACAGGAUUAGAUACCCUGGUAGUCCACGCUGUAAACGAUGAGUACUAGGUGUCGGCUGUCAAAGGUCGGUGCCGGCGUUAACACAUUAAGUACUCCGCCUGGGGAGUACGCUCGCAAGAGUGAAACUCAAAGGAAUUGAUGGGGACCC
rnacentral:rRNA from 1 species